UGAAGUAUUCUGCAGCCACUGAAAGUGUUUCUGAGAAACAGAAAAUAACCUGGAAGAGUACUUAUAUUUUAAAGUGUAAAAGGCAGACUAUAACACGUUGCAUUUCAAUAGAUCAAAACCAUGUAAUGUAAACAAAACAGAUGUGUGGAAAAAAACCCCAGCAUUACAAAGAAUCUGCCAAAAUAUUAAUAAUAGUGUUCACUGGAGGAUAGGAAAAUAAGAAAUAUAUUUAUCUUUUUCUUCAUUUUACAUAUUUUCCAAAUUUUUGUAUGAGUAUAUAUUAUUUUAGAACAGUGUUGCUCAGUAGGACUUUCUACAAUGAUGGGAUUAGGCUAUAUUUGUGCUGUCUAAUCCAUAACCACUGGCUACUGUGCAUUUGAAAUAUGAUUAGUGUGAUUGAGGAACUGGAUUUUUAAUUGUACUAAAUUAUAUGAAGUGUAAAUUUUAGUAGCCAAAUGAGCCUAGGGACUACUUUAUUUGACAGUGCUGUUUUAAAGUGCAAAAAUAAUAAGAAAUAUCUAUUAUAUCUCAAUAAAGCUGUUAAAAUAGUAUCUAAAAUGUGUUUACUAUUAUCAAGUUUUGAAAUUUUAUUACACAGUGUGGGAGUGAGUUUGACUUCACAAGAGAGACGAUGGACACAGCACAGAAAAACGUUGGGGCUUUUAUUUAAAUGGUUUCUUUUCCAGCUCAAUAGAAAAAUGAUCCAGCAUUAAGCUUAUUUGUACCUGAGUUCAGUUUCAGACUAGAAAGAAACCAUCACCUGGAUGUCAUAGUAGUUGUUCUGCAACAACUUUCUUCAAUUAUGAAAAUAUUCUUUUCUAAACAUAUCUUGAUCUUUACACAAGUUCAAACCAUGUAAGUAAUAGGUUUUGAGGUGAGGACAAAGCUUGUUAUCCCCACUUUGUAGAUGUAAAAAAUCAGGUCCAUGAUGGUUCAGUUCCCAAAGACAUGAGACAAGAAGCAAAGGCAAAGCCUCUUAGUUCUUGAAGCCCAGAGGAUUUUAUCAUCUUUCACAAUAUGGACAGAACAAUUUCUAAUAAACUGUCUUGGGAAGGGGUCUUCCCAAAGGAAUUGGAAAUAUUUGCUUUUUUAAAAGUCCUUUCAAUGAAGCCUUUUUUAUUUGUUUGGUUAGUUGGUUUUGUUUUUGUUUUUUGGCUUCUAGAACUGUCUGAAGAUUAGUUUGCAGAAAGCAAGGCACUGCACAUCUAUCAAAGGUUGCCCUUUAUUUGUGUCUGUGUCUUCAUGCUCUCCAUGGAAUGCCACACAAAACCCCUUGUCUUUUCAUGUGAGCUUACCGUGGACCCCCAGCCCCGAAACUCCAUCUGUCUUCCCUCCCUCCCACACGUAGCCCCUCUUGGAGUUAGCCAAUCAUAAUUCUGCAUCUGGGAUUUAGAGAUGUAGAUUUAGAAAUGUGCUGAGCUUUUCUGGGAUCACGUUCCCUGGAUGGCUGAGGCACAGUGGACAGUAGUAUGAGAGAGAUGAGCUCAGCUGAGCAGGCACCGGGGUGCUUCCCACUCCCGCCCCACACACUCUUCAUCGGUGGCCCCCCAAGUGUUUGCUAAGAGCAGCAGUCAGGAGUACAAUUUAACAUAAAUGAAUCCACUGAAUUUUUUCAGACCUCAAGUCUCAAUCCUUUUUGGUUCAAGUUCUAGGGAAAGGUUGGAGCCAGUUGUGAUUUAAAAAAAUAAUAAUAAUAAAAAAUUGGUUCACCCGUCUGUCAGAACAGCCAAGAAAUAUUCACAUGAGGAGGACUAUCCAAAAAAAUGAAGAGUAGCUCUUUUCCAAGACAGAUCUCUGGAACUCUCUCCCUCCCUUGCUCAGAACCACUUCCUCUCCUCAAAUCUCACUUUAAAACCUUCCUGUUUGUUUUAGCCUAUGACUGACUCAGGCCCCAUUCAUCUUUCUUUCCUCUCUCCCCAUGACCACAUCCUUCCACUCUCCCCUCACCGUCCACCGUGAGAACACUCGCUUGCCUCGUACCUCCCUCGUUCCUCAGCCCCUUGCGUGUUACCCUCCAGCCUGCAUGGACCACCCUCACCGGGCCCAGACGUGUUUGGAAGCGUGAGGGCCUGCUCCACGUGGGUGUCUGUGCCUCUCCCCCCUUCUUAGAGGAGGAGGUAACGGAUCCUAAUGGUACUUCUGCUUGAAGAGGUGCUUCACCAAUUGUAUUUUUAAGUUAUAAAUUCAGAUGCUUGAGAAGCAGAACACAAAAGGACCUUGUAACAGACUGCAAAGACACCAACUCUCAGCCCUGUUCCCCUUGGGAUACUUCAGGUAAAGCCUGAAGGAGAGGUGGGAAUAAAACACAGGCCAAAUCAGAGCUGCUGUUUCACCUUCAGAAUAAAGUUAUGAUGGUCUCACCUGUGCUUCCUAUUUCUCUCAAGUAACAAGAGAAGUUAACCCCCACUGAAGUUCUGAGGCAGGAUCGGCCCUGGGAGCACAGUCCCAGAGCAAGCCCAAGUGUUUGAAUUCUUUUAGUUCAGGGUGCUUACCCAGUAUUUUCUGAAGGGUGUGGUUUCAGGUUGGUUCCCUGGACAAUGGGUAUGCUGUGGCUUUCCCCUGAUGCAUCGCUUCCCUCCCUCCCAGGAUGGAACCUUCUCCCACAAAUGUGGAGGCAGGUCAGUCUGCUCCCAUCCCCAGAGGGGGCUCACUGCUGGUGCCAAAAGAAGUGCAUCCGGAACCGAGUGUCCCAUUUUUUUACCUGAUGAAACACAUACUCAUCUCACUUUUGGUCCUAUCGCAGUAAUAACAGCUGCCAUUUCUCUACCACAUAUUGUUUCCAAAGCACAUUUGUACUUAUAAUGGGAAGUAUGUAAGGCAGGUUUUAAUAUUCCCAUUUUACCUUUAAGGGACUAAGGUCAACAUGACUUGCCUGAGGUCUGAGGUCACAGAGGCAGUGAUUGGGGGAGUUGGAAUCCAUAUAAAUCUUCUAGAGGAACUACAGACCAACCAUAGACAUCCCCACAUGAGUGCAUCAGUGUCUGGAGAGGAACAGUCUGGAAAGGUUUCCACAUGAAAAUUUGCAAGACGAAGCCCAAGAGACAGAGCAUGCCAGAUGUUGUGGAGAGCAUGACUGCCCAGUCCCUUCGGCCACACAUGCUGAAGUCAUGAAGUUGGGAAAUCUGACUCAGGAGUCACCAUCCAGUGUGGGAGCUGACAAAGCGCCAAAUGGUCUGGGACAACUGGUCGACAUGGGAUGUUUGCACCAGUCUUUUAUGGAUUCAGGAGGCUUGAGCUCUAUGCUCAGUCUUGAUACAACCUGGCAAAGCCAACGGGCUCCUCUUCUGUGGCCCUGCUGUCAGCUCUGGAGGCAGCCAGGGCUGCUUGCCUGGAGACAAGAGCACCUUGCUGGGCUCCCAUGGAAGACAUUCCCCAGACAUGGAGUCCUGUCAUCAGCAUUGCCUCCGUACCCUGGUUCUCAAAGGAAUUUGCAUAAUCGUCACCUGUGAAACUUGUGAUGAGCACAGAUUGCAAGCUGCCAGCCCCAGAGGUCUGGGGGGCCACCGUAGACCACUGCAUCUUCAGUCAGUUGCCAGGCAGAGUUGCUGAGAAGUGCUGGCAUGCCCGGGACAGCUGCCUCAAGAACUCCUCUUUCCAAGGAUGCCUCCACAUGUCUCCUUCGAUCCCCCCGCCCAGCAGGUGCAGACAUUUGCUAACAGAAGUUCUUUGCUGUAUUGCUGUAUGUCAGAGCAUUUUACAACUAGCUUUCUGCAGAACAGUAAAAAACAAAAGAGUUCAGCUUAAACAUAGCCAAACAACUUUUAACAGAGCAGUAAAGUGAUUUCCUCACUGGGCUCUGCUCUGAGGCAGAUCUGAGAAGUUCUUGUCAUGCUGGACCUUUUUUCAAGUUUACCCUGGGCCCAUCUCAGAUUCACCCUACAAGAGACCUGGACUGCCAGGUGGAAUGUGGUCUCCAAGGACCAUUACACUGGAUGAUUUCAGACCUGUGUCCUGGGGGGCAGCUGGGAGCUGGCUGAGGCCUCAGGCCAGCUGGGUAGCAGAGCCCCAUGCCCAGCACUGCCUGGUGGCCUUCCGAGCUCCACCACAUGGGUGGUCUGCGUGCUGGCAGAGCACAAGGCUGCAGGAGUUCACAGCCCCCUCUGGGGGACAUGACGAAUGGCCUUGCUGACAAACCGUGGUCUGCUUUCCAUCUCUGAGCCAUGAACGGUUUCGUUUUCAAAGCCAGAAAACAAACCACGGGAACCAGACACAACACACGCAGGCCACAAAUGAUGCAGCCAUAGUCUCGUCUCAAGGAAGGGACCUGCAAAGGUAAAAGAAACACAGCUUUGUUAGAACUCUUCGAUGAAAAGUUAAUACAGAAAACUCAACCAGAGCUUGUAAUGGGACCUCCUGUGCCCUCCCCAACUGGGCCUUCUGGCCUGGGGGAGAGUCAGUCCUCUCUCAUGGCCAGACCCAUCUGAUACUGGUCUUCUCCAGGGGCUUUCCAACUGGGCUCCAACCCUGGGGGCUUCCCAGGCCACCGUGGAGAGGGAUUUGGGCAGGCCAGAAAGUACUCUCGCUCCCCUGCACUGACCAGCUGCAUUUCUAUCUGACUUAUUCUUAUAGUGCUCCCAAGAUCUCUUUUGAAGGAAAUGUUCUGCAGGUAAACAACAUUUGAACUAUUCUAGUCUGCGCCGAUCCCAUGUACAUUCCAAUGGAUGCUUCCAGUAAAGAAUGGAGGAGGUCAGGAUAGCAAUUUUACAAGAAGUGCAUCAAUUUCUGUGUCCCUCUGUCUGAUGUUGCCCACCAGUUCCCUUUAUCACCCUCUGCCCCUUCCUUUGGGCACUGGCAUGAUAAUUUAGGGUUGUGUUAUCAAAAGCCAGAAAGAACUAACAAAGAAUUAGGUCACUGUAGGAGCCCAUGGACAUAGGCCUGUCCUCUCCUUGUUCCUACAGCAACAUAGGAAAUAUCACAGAUAACUUGAGCCUGGAGAAGGAUGGGUCACGUUUUUAGGUCCACCUCCCAUACAUGAGUGCUCCCUACUGGCCACAUGUAUAAUAAGUGAUAUUGUUCCUCUAGCUAUAGCUGAAUCAGUCUUCCUAGCGUAGUGGUGAUCUUCACCACGUAUUCACGCCAAUGCAGGAGGUGGGAUGAGAAGUAGGAUGAUAAGCAUUGUGGGAGAAAGCACAUUGUGGGCAAAGGCAGGGAGGCAUAAAUGAAUAAGGAAUGUGGUAGGCUGCGGGGAGCACCUGACAAGGAGGGUGGGGCCCUUGUCAUGUUGGGUUAGAGUAUUUGGAAUAUUCUUUUAGACAAUUGGGAGACUUUUGGAAGUAGUUUAAGCAUUUGUAAUGAUCAAAUCUAAAUAUUUCAAAGUUAAUGCUAGUGACUCAGUGGAACAUGGAUAGGGAGUGGAGAGGUGGUUAAGAGAUGCUUUCUCAAAAUGGUUCAUUUUUUCAGUCAUGCAAAAAACUUCAUGGAGUGUGUGUCAAAGGGGAGAGGAUGAGGGCUUAAACUAUGGUGGUCACUGGAGAAAGGAGGAAGACAUUCACAACAUAUGUCCAACAAGACCUGAUGACUGAUUGGCUGUGGGUCUGAGGGAGGGGCAGGGGUCAGGGGUUACUGAGACCACAGAGGGACCGAUAGGACCAUUACUCCACAGAGAAGUUCUCUAGGGUGUGGGCUGGGGAGCAGUGGGGAUGUGUACAGAAAUGAGCACAUUUCUCUCUAAGCAAAGAGACUAUCCUAGCAUUUGGAGGACCUUCAGGAGAUUUAGCAUCAAUCCACACCUUUAAAAAAAUUAAUGUGAAAGCAAAGAAGUAUAUUACAGGAUGAUGUGAAACAAUCAGAAACGUGCUAACAGGGAGGUCAUCGGAAGAACAAUUUAUUGUAAAGGAAUGUGAUCCCAGUACUAGUGUGAAAGCCCUUUCAGGAGCAUUUGUGCCUCCUAAUGAUUCAUAGCAAGGCCAGGACACCAUCACCUUCAGUGAGGGUGGGCUUCUUUGGAGAGGUUAGAUAAACAUUUGGGCUGGUGGAAAAAUGCUGGCUGAACUUCUUUUGAGGAAGUGUGCUCAAGGGAAUGAGGUGAGAGCAGAAGAUUCUAUUUUCUGCCAGUUUUCUCCCCUUCCUCAUUCUCAUCCAUUCAGAACAUUCCUUGGAGGUGGUUUCUCAAGCUUCUGAAAUCCACACUUGGUUCUCUCUCUCUUUCUUGCAUGUGCACCCACAUACACUCGCACAUAUCUACUCACACAGUUAAAUACGGACAACUCUGUGAGUUACUGGGAUAUUUUUUCCAUAUCAACUACUUCCCCAUAGAAGCAUGAGAAAGAUUAAAUGGCCAGAGAAUAACAGAAAGAGCAAGGCUUUGGUGCCAGACAAACCCAGAGUCUCAUUCUGCCUGAUGUGAUCCAGUGUGAGACACUGAGCUUCCCUGAACCUUGAUUCCUUUAAAACUUCUUAGAGCCAUCUCAGUAUUGGAUGCAACGUCCAUAAAGUAUCUCAGAAGGCAUUUGAUAACUGUUAGGAUGAAAUUAGGACUUUGUGACUGUAUGCUGUAAAGGCUUCCUUGUUUCAUUGUUCAUAAUAGUGAAGCAUGGUCCCAGCAUAUCCUCCAACAGGUAAAAUUCUCUAGAAACAAAACUUUAGCAAAUAUCAGUGUGGAAUUUAUUAAUGUUUUAUUUAAUUACUUGGGGGCAUUUAAUGAAAGAAUGAAUUAUUAAGUGAGAACAUUGAUUGUUCCCUGUGUAUGGCAAGAAGAUCUCCUGUGUAUGCUUAAAAUAGCUCCAUAAAAUGUAGAGCAGACCACAGUAAAUUAAAGAAAGGAAGGAAAAUGGAAUGAGGAUUGAAAAUACGAUUUAGCCUGGAAGUCUGCAUAAAACGACAGCCACGCCCCAAUUAUCCUACAUCCCCCAUACCUGGAACUUGCAGCUAUUCUAGAAUGGGUGGUGACUCCAGACCCAAAAGAGAAUAAAAUGCUGCUGCAGGAAGUUGAAGAUGCAUGACCAUUGGGCUCAUGGGCUAGGCAAGGUGAGCUCCCUGGUUUCCCUACCCCUCUAGACUGCUCACCCCUCUUCACCCUACUGUGCUCCCUGGAAGCCUUGCUUUUGGGCUUCUUGUUAAGUUCGUCCAAUGGAAGACCCUUGCAGGAUAUGGAAGGGAGGGAAGAGAGAAAGUUCGGGAUAUUUAUUCCCCUAGUUCUUUCACCUGAGGUUACUGCCCCUUUCCAACAUGGUCUCUCUCUGUGACACUCUUCUUCCAGACCUUAGAAUUUAAAUUCGAGGUUCCUUCUCCUCACCACUUUUGGGCCUAGAGGUGGUAAAGCACCCAGGCUGGUCCUCACAGCUGGGCUGCUGUGGUUAGUGAAAGGGUAAACUGAAUCCCCCAUAACCAAUAAGUUCUGAAUGCUUCCCUGUGUUAAGACACAAGUCUAAGAGUUAAUGGUCACAGUUUUUAUAACCUUUCAUUUUGGAGAUAAAGCCAAAUUAUAUUCCACAUAUUCCCCAAGGAAAGCAAUAUUCGUUGAGGACCUUCUACUUGCCAGAAUAGUAUAUUUUAAUCCUUCUAGGAGCAGAAAGUAGAAUAGCAUUAUCUCCAUCUUAUAGAUGAGGAAGUAUGUUCAGUAAAAUUACAUAGCCUGGAGCUACACAGCUAGUGUGUUUCCGAUGUGAGAGCUAAACACAACUUUCCUGAUUUUCCUGAGCAACCCCGCAAUUUCAAAAAAAGAAUGAAUCCUUAUCUGGAAUGAUCCAUGAACAAUUGCAGCGGUUGAGGCAUGACUCUACAUUUCUUUGUUCUGCUGAUUUUUUCACAGCCAACUUUGCUAAGGCUGCAUCGUAUAAAAGGUGCAUCAUUUACAAGGAGGCUUACUGAAGUAAAUAGGUGCGUCUCUCUUAGUGGCCUUGAUCUAUGCUAUCUUUGAGAAGCCAAAGGUAGGACAGUACUAAGCCUCAAAUGGAGCUAUUAAGAGAGAAAGGGAGAGACAGAGACAGAAAGAAAGGGAGGAAGAGAGAGAGAAGCUUACAUUUUGCCCUCCUUUGCAGCUCGUGCCUUAUGUUCCAGAUGGUCAACUCUGUGUUGGGACUAGUUAAUUUCACAUUGCAAAAUAUUAUAUGGGGUAGCAGGUGGAAAUGCCCACUGUGAGAAAUGAAGAGAAAGAAAAUCUGAGCUGUAGAGGGAAAAAGACAUGAAAACAGUUUGCCUAAGCCUUGGAACCAAAUAUUUUGUUCAGCGAAAUCUAAUAGUUACUGAGGAUACACACAGCACCAUCCAAAUCAGAAGUUGGCUGUUUUUCAGCUGUGUGACUUUUGACUAGUUAAUCAACAUCUCUGAGUCCUUCUUUUCCUAAUUAAUAAAAUGGAGUUAAUCAUA